UGGUAUGAGAAAUACACCAUAGUGGUUACCGUAGCUAAUUAGCUAGCUUGCUGAAGACGCGUGCCUUCAGAGUGACUGCAACUUGUAAAGGGCGUGGAUGCAGAGGCCCACUGGUGCAACAGGGUGUCAGUAUGGCAGAAGACCCCCAGAGGAACUUUGUUCUGCCUAUUAUGAGAAGGUGGAGGAGAAUAAAUCACUGGAGAUACUUAUGAAAGAAAACCCAUUGGAUGUGGAGAAACUUAGCACAUUCAGUCAGAGGUUCCCUCUGCCCUCAAUGUACAGGAUCCAUGUGUGGAAAGUCUCACACACAAGCUACAUCCAACACAGGUGAAACUCUGGAAGACUAACCUUUUUAACACCUCACUAUUAAACCCAUAGACAUCCCUGUCUCUCACCAGGCAGACAGUAGUGAAGAGAACACACCAAAAGCACAGCCAAGCCUAGGGCUGUUACGGUGACCAUAUUACCACCACAAUGGCAGUCACAAGUCAUGACAGCAGUCAAAUUCCAUGUGACCGUUUAGUCACGGCUUCUCCAAGCUCUGAUACUGCUCAUUGUCAUUAGUAGCCUACCAAACUUGCUAUCUGCCUGGUUCUUGGCACUCUAUUGUCCCUCUAAUCACUCUGACAUCAAUGCAAAUAUAAUCGAAAAUCUAAUCAAACACUUCAUGAGAGCCUGUGGGCUCAUGAUGCGAAACAUUUCUAUAGGUUAUGAAAUUGCAUGAAGAAUACAGAAAAAAGGUGAUGAAAGUACAGAAAAAAGGUGAUACAGAGUGAUGGCCUCUUAAAAAGAGGAGGAUCCCAUCAGCUUUCAAUAGGCUAGGCCUACUAUAUUUAUUUCUCAACUUUCCUAAUAUUAGUCACAUUGCUUAUCUUUACAACAGGAGUAUUGCCUACCUGGCUCAAGUACCCCUGACUGCAGUGUGCAAUUCGGGGCCGGACUCAAUUUUAGUAAAAAAAAAAAUAUUUAACCAGGUAGGCCCAGUUGAGAACACGUUCUCAUUUACAACUGUGACCUGGCCAAGAUAAAGCAAAGCAGUGCGACAACACAGAGUUACACAUGGGAUAAACAAACAGAGUCAAUAACACAAUAGAAAAUCUGUAUACAGUGUGUGCAAAUGAAGUAAGGAGGUAAGGCAAUAAAUAGGCCAUAGUGGCAAAAUAAUUUAGCAAUAACACUGGAGUGAUAGAUGUGCAGAUGACAAUGUGCAAGUAGAAAUACUGGUGUGCAAAAGAGCAACAAAAAAAAUAUAUAUAUAUGGGGAUGAGGUAGGUAGUUGGUUGGAUGGGCUAUUUACAGAUGGGCUGUGUACAGCUGCAGUGAUCGGUAAGCUGCUCUGACAGCCGAUGCUUAAAGUUAGUGAGGGAGAUAUAAGUCUCCAACUUCAGUGAUUUUUGCAAUUCGUUCCAGUCAUUGGCAGCAGAGAACUGGAAAGACAGGCGGCCGAAGGAGGUGUUGGCUUUGGGGAUGACCAGUGAAAUAUACCUGCUGGAGCGCGUGCUACGGGUGUGUGUUACUAUGGUGACCAGUGAAGGCGGAGCUUUACCUAGCAAAGACUUAUAGAUGACCUGGAGCCAGUGGGUUUGGCGACGAAUAUGUAGCAAGAACCAGCCAACGAGAGCAUGCAGGUCGCAGUGGUGGGUAGUAUACGGGGCUUUGGUGACAAAACGGAUGGCACUGAUCGACUGCAUCCAAUUUUUAUUUUUAUUUUUUAAAUUUUUAUCCCAUUUUCUCCCCAAUUUUCGUGGUAUCCAAUCGCUAGUAAUUACUACCUUGUCUCAUCGCUACAACUCCCGUACGGGCUCGGGAGAGACGAAGGUCGAAAGCCAUGCGUCCUCCGAAGCACAACCUAACCAGCCGUACUGCUUCUUUACACAGCGCGCCUCCAACCCGGAAGCCAGCCGCACCAUUGUGUCGGAGGAAACACUGUGUACCUGGCCCCCUUGGUUGGCGCGCACUGCGCCCGGCCCGCCACACGAGUCGCUGGAGCGCGAUGAGACAAGGAUAUCCCUACCGGCCAAACCCUCCCUACCCCGGACGACGCUAUGCCAAUUGUGCGUCGCCCCACGGACCUCCCGGUCGCGGCCGGCUGCGACAGAGCCUGGGCGCGAACCCAGAGACUCUGGUGGCGCAGUUAGCACUGCGAUGCAGUGCCCUAGACCACUGCCCCACCCGGGAGGCUUGCAUCCAAUUUGUUGAGUAGAGUGUUGGGGGCUAAUUUGUAAAUGACAUUGCCGAAGUCAAGGAUCGGCAGGAUAGUCAGUUUUACGAGGGUAUGUUUGGCAGCAUGAGUGAAGGAGGCUUUGUUGCGAAAUAGGAAGCCGAUGGGGGGAGGGGGUCAAACGUUUGACCCCGCCCACCUUUUUUUGUCCAUCUGAGGUUUGACAGUCACACACUGAAUACAAACACACACGUUUGCGUAAGGCACACGUUGAAUACAAACAUAUUUAAUUUUUGAAGAUCGUAAGAAAUAUUAUAUAAAGUACCAGUAGGUGGGUUGUAACACUUUUCACUUCAUGCUACGUCAUCUUUACUGAACAACAUAACACAAUUAACAAUUGAAACAAUUAACACAGCAGACAAAAACAAGGUUUGACCAUUCCUCAAAAAUGGCUUCGCUCCUGCUCCUCAAAAGAAGCAAAGACAGUAAUUGUCUUGUCAACUGCCUCCACAUAGGACAUCUUAUCUCUCUGUAACUGGAACAUGAAUGGUUCCUAGAGGAGAAUAUUUUCCUCUUCAUCCAGGCCAUUAUACAACCGUAGUUCUUUAAGGCUUGUAAUGUGGUCAUCCCUGUCCAUUUCAAUUACACUAGGGAGGGAAACAGUGCCUUUAAAUGUUUGGAGUUCACGUCACCUUGCUGCCUCUAGGGUGUCCCUUAGAAAAACAUCUGCUUCCUUGAAGAAUAAAUAUUAAGAGUCGUGCCUCAUUGGGUGAUCAAGACAGAUUACACCCCACUUUCACAAUACAUUUACAUUUAAGUCAUUUAGCAGACGCUCUUAUCCAGAGCGACUUACAAAUUGGUGCAUUCACCUUAUGACAUCCUGUGGAACAGCCACUUUACAAUAGUGCAUCUAAAUCUUUUAAGGG